rnacentral:piRNA from 1 species
UAAAAAAUUGGGGUAAAUUUU